GGGAAAAGCAAAAGGCAGACAGAGAGGGCCAGCACGGGGAUGCAGAUGUGAGCACGCUAAAGUGUCCUUUCCACUGCCCUUUCCUUCUUUAUUCCUGCUGAGAAUCUCUCUGAGGUUCUUUCUCCCUUGCAGUGCUUUCCCCAGCCUCGGUGGCAUGGCUACAGGGAAUCGACCAUGUGCCAGCAAUGUGGGUUUCUCUCCUCUUUCUGUAGGCUCUUCCUGCAUGUGCUUCUCAGAGUUUACUUUUUCCUUUAGCUGCUAAACCACGCAGGCAGGCUACCAGAAGCUCAACCUCUGCCGCUGCUCUAGUAGGGGCAGCUGGGCAUGCAACUGAACGAAGACCUCUGGGAAGCCUCUGGCUCUUUUCUGUCCCACCCAUCAGGGUCGGUGGAGGCAGGGGAUGAUGGUCUCCUGAUACCACAGCCACCGCCAUGUCCUUUUUUGCCAAGUCCACAUCUUUCCCAGAACAGGAGGGCACAGAUCACACCCACCUCUCAUCAUCUCACCCUUCAGUUAAAUUUGAAAAGCCCCCUUGGAAAAGUUGUUCAUUUUUGCCCCUGCUGGGGACUGGUUGGGCAGAAUACCCCCAUGCCUCCAGCCUCUUAAGUUGUACGCAAGAACCAGCAACAGUUGAGCUCUUUUCACGGCUCAUACUCAGCCCAGGUCCAUAGUCUUCACCUUAAAUGCCUACCUUGUCAAUGGGAGCAGAGUUUACCAUUCAACCAGGACAAGACCAAGAAGGAAAGGGCUUUAACUGUCUACCUGAGCACCAGGCACACUGUGGAGCUGGAAGCCACUGCAGAAACCUGGUCAUUUGGUAGCAGCCCAAAAAGCAGCUGUUCACCGUAGCUGGCAGGAUUCGAACCUGCGCGGGGAAACCCCAAUGGAUUUCUAGUCCAUCGCCUUCACCACUCGGCCACAACUACCUGAUGCAGCCCUCUUUGCCCCGCUGAUCACAGUGCCUGUGCAAUGACACCCGGCUGCCGGGGAGUUUCAGGGCAAUGCUCCACUUCCAGAUUUGUAGCCGGAACUUUCACUGCACGUGUAAUGAGUCAAAGACCUCUCUGUGUUAUCUCAAGGCAUCCUGGAGGCCCUGACUGACCCUGUUCAGGAGCCGGCACUGCAGGGACAUCCUGGAACUGGGUGCAACACCGUCCCUGGCAGCUAAGAGCUGAGACAACUUCAUGUCGCUUGCAGCUUAUGGCCUAUGGAACACUGGAGAAAAAGGAGCCUCUCAGAACUGGACUCUCUGUCUGAAGGGGACAAAGCUACUCAAACCUUUUCUAGUUCAACCGUUGCUUAAAGCAAAACAAGCUACAGUCCUUCCUCUGCUGACAUUCAGAAAACAAUCUGCAUGGGCUCUGGAACACAGCAUAAAAGCCUGCUCUGCUCCAGGCUCUGCAUCUUCCUCUCUUGCUUCCCUUUCCUCUAAGAGCAAGCUUUGCCUCGCUCACCGAGAGAUGUCUUGCUUCAGACCAUGUCCCCCACGCCCCUGCGGCACCUCUGGCCCAACGCCACUUGCAAGCAGUUGCAGUGAACCCUGCAUCUCCCGCUGCGCUGACUCGACGGUGUUCAUUGAGGCCUCCCCAGUGGUGGUGACCCUGCCGGGCCCCAUCCUCACCUCUUUCCCGCAGAGCACAGCCGUGGGAUCCUCUCUGUCAGCUGCUGUUGGGAGCUCCCUCAGCACUGGCGGGGUUCCCAUCUCUUCUGGGGGCUCCCUUGGUCUCGGGGGCUCAGGCCUGUGUCUGCCUCCCCCCCGCUGCAGUCUGAACUGCUGAAGCUGGCGGAUCAUCCCCUUUGGAGCCGGAAGGAGGACGUGCACCCUGCAUGAGCAGGAGCGUGGCCACGGCUUCCAGAUGGGCUGCGUGUCCUCUUCCCACCUGGCAGGAGGGUCCUGUGCCCACUGCUCCUCACUGCUGGACGAGCCUCGCACUGCCUUCUCUGUCUCUGCUUUGCUCUGAGCCCCUAAGAGAAAGGGCUCCUUCUCUUCUGCUUUGCUGAACCUCCUACUGAGGUGGAGAGGGAUCUGGAGUCAGGGACUGCUCUUGGUGGCCUGGGAAUACCACCAGGUGAAGCAGAAUGGGAAAAGGGAAGCUCUUUCUGUGGACCUUGUCCUUUGGAAACGGGCCCUUCUCUGUGCCUCCCCAAACCCUGCAGACAUCUUCCCUGGUCUCUCUUCUGUGCCCCUGCAUUUGCUCCUUCUGAUUAAAGACUAUGUGCAGCAUAUCUGGAGUCUCGUGGUUGGUUGUUCUCCUCCUCCCUCACUUACCUGCUGUGCAAGGAGAGAUCUGCUGUCUCUCAUGACAGACAAGCAUGGACUACUGCCAUGUUUAGCUGGAGCUCCCUGAAUUGAUCGAGGAUCAAAAAUAAACAAGUUGACAAAGAGAAACAGAAAAGCCCCAGAGAAACUGAGCGAGGAAGAAGCAGUGGACAGAGUUGGAUCUGUGGCUACUGCCAGAGGUAUUGGUGGUCAAAGACGGGAAAAGGUUGCUCAGGGAGUAGAAGAUUCUCCAUCUUUGGAGAUGUCUAACGUAGAACCAGACAAGGCCAGGAAAAACGUCCCCUGCUUGACCUGGACCUGGACUUUGUGAUCUCCACCUCAGGUGUUGCGUGAUUUGGUGAGAAACUGCUGGAUG